rnacentral:snRNA from 1 species
AGCUUUGCACAGUGGCAGUAUCGUAAACAAUGAAGUUUAUCCAAGGCGCCAUUAUUGCUAAUUUAAAAAAAUAUGGUAAAUAAC